rnacentral:rRNA from 1 species
CCUACGGGAGGCAGCAGUGGGGAAUAUUGGACAAUGGGCGGAAGCCUGAUCCAGCCAUGCCGCGUGUGUGAAGAAGGCCUUUUGGUUGUAAAAGCACUUUAAGCGAGGAGGAGGCUACUAGUACUAAUACUACUGGAUAGUGGACGUUACUCGCAGAAUAAGCACCGGCUAACUCUGUGCCAGCAGCCGCGGUAAUACAGAGGGUGCGAGCGUUAAUCGGAUUUACUGGGCGUAAAGCGUGCGUAGGCGGCUUUUUAAGUCGGAUGUGAAAUCCCCGAGCUUAACUUGGGAAUUGCAUUCGAUACUGGGAAGCUAGAGUAUGGGAGAGGAUGGUAGAAUUCCAGGUGUAGCGGUGAAAUGCGUAGAGAUCUGGAGGAAUACCGAUGGCGAAGGCAGCCAUCUGGCCUAAUACUGACGCUGAGGUACGAAAGCAUGGAGACAACAGAUAGAUACCUACGUAGUCAUGACCGUAACGAUGUCUACUAGUCCGGUUCGGGUCCGGUUCGUAGGUCGUUUAGUUGGUCGCG